AACGAACGCUGGCGGCAGGCUUAACACAUGCAAGUCGAACGCCCCGCAAGGGGAGUGGCAGACGGGUGAGUAACGCGUGGGAAUCUACCUAGUUCUACGGAACAACAGAGGGAAACUUCUGCUAAUACCGUAUACGCCCUAAGGGGGAAAGAUUUAUCGGAAUUAGAUGAGCCCGCGUAAGAUUAGCUAGUUGGUGGGGUAAUGGCCUACCAAGGCGACGAUCUUUAGCUGGUCUGAGAGGAUGAUCAGCCACACUGGGACUGAGACACGGCCCAGACUCCUACGGGAGGCAGCAGUGGGGAAUAUUGGACAAUGGGCGCAAGCCUGAUCCAGCCAUGCCGCGUGAGUGAUGAAGGCCCUAGGGUUGUAAAGCUCUUUCAGUGGGGACGAUAAUGACGGUACCCACAGAAGAAGCCCCGGCUAACUUCGUGCCAGCCGCCGCAGUAACAC
rnacentral:rRNA from 1 species